rnacentral:rRNA from 1 species
GAAAUCUAUAAUAUAAUAAUAUUAUCGAAAUGUCGUGUAUAGGUUUUAUUAUUAUUAAUAAAUUAUUAUUAAAUAAUUGUAUUUAAAUAUACAGCCACAGAAGGUGCCAGCCCUGUUAUUUAAUAAUAUUUAUUAAAUUUAUAAAACUUUAGAGUCGUGUUGCUUGGAAGUGCAGCACAAAGUUGGUGAUAAACAUCAUCUAAGGCUAAAUAUUCCUAUGAAUCCGAUAGCGAACAAGUACUGUGAAGGAAAAUUGCAAAGUACUCCGGAGAGAGAGUUAAAGAGGACGUGAAACCGAUACGAUGGAAGCAUACAGAGCCAGUUGCACUAUUAUUAAUAAAAAUUUAUUUUUUUAUUAAUAAUUUUAAGCAUGGGUAUAUUGAUUAAUAAUUAGUUAUUUAUUAAAGAGUGAUAAAAUUUUUAUAAAUUUUGUUAACUUUAAUAAAAUAAUUAUAUUUUUAAUUAAUAUUUAAUAAUAAUUAAUGUAUUAAUAAUAUAUUAUUUUAUUAAUAUAAUAUAAGACACAUGUGUUAAAUAUUAUUUAUUAAUAAUUUAUAUAUUAUUAUAAAUUAAUAAACCUAUGUAA